rnacentral:rRNA from 1 species
AUUGAACGCUGGCGGAAUGCUUUACACAUGCAAGUCGAACGGUAGAGGGGGCAACCCCUCGAGAGUGGCGAACGGGUGAGUAAUAUAUCGGAACGUGCCCAGUCGUGGGGGAUAACGUAGCGAAAGUUACGCUAAUACCGCAUACGAUCUAAGGAUGAAAGCGGGGGAUCGCAAGACCUAGCGCGAUUGGAGCGGCCGAUAUCAGAUUAGGCAGUUGGUGGGGUAAAGGCUCACCAAGCCAACGAUCUGUAGAUGGUCUGAGAGGACGACCAGCCACACUGGAACUGAGACACGGUCCAGACUCCUACGGGAGGCAGCAGUGGGGAAUUUUGGACAAUGGACGCAAGUCUGAUCCAGCCAUUCCGCGUGCAGGAUGAAGGCCCUCGGGUUGUAAACUGCUUUUGUACGGAACGAAAAGGUCUCUCUUAAUACGGGGGGCUCAUGACGGUACCGUAAGAAUAAGCACCGGCUAACUACGUGCCAGCCGCCGCCGUAA